GGCUUGCUAGCAGCAGUUCUUCAGUGGCAAGCUUUAUGGUCAUGCAAUAUGCUAAAGCUGCCAGUUGAAGAACUGUUGAAGUUGGCU